CUCAGUGUAAAAAGUUACCAGUAUUAAGGUAAAAUAAUCUAUGCCCUAAAACUCUUGUAUUGUUAUAAUCUACGUGCUAAUAAUUGUGUUCUAAAUAACUGUGUAAAACUUGUGACCUAACUCUUGUGUUAAACCUGUAGGGUAAACUGGGUACGGUUGUGCCAGGGUACGGUAGUGACAGUCGCAGUUGUAACGAAACUAUACGUAAAACGGGGGAGGUUGUGAGGGAGAAAGACGUGGCUCACAAGCCUAAACACGUUCCCCAGUAUUGCGUUAGCCGGCGCACGACGUUGAUGUAAGCAGGAGCCCACAUUGCUUUUCAACAAUCAAAAAUGUCCAGGAUACGUUUGCGGAAGACCGAAAGAGCGCAGUGUGAUAUCAAAAAAUAAAAAGAUGCCGAUGAAGAAGUGAAACAAGGGAUUUCGUACGUGUAGCUCAAGCUACAAGCCUUUCUACAGCUACAAGUUUGAACAGAGCAAAUGUUGUUUUGUUGAUUGUUAAAACUAUGUUUGUAAGCUUAUUAUGUUAAACAUUUCUACAAUAAAAGAUAUUAUAGACCA